rnacentral:rRNA from 1 species
AAUUUUUGACAAUGGGGGCAACCCUGAUCCAGCCAUGCCGCGUGUGUGAAGAAGGUCUUCGGAUUGUAAAGCACUUUAAGUUGGGAGGAAGGGCUUUAGUCUAAUACCCGGAAGUGUUGACGUUACCAACAGAAUAAGCACCUGCUAACCUUGUGCCAGCAGCCGCGGUAAUACCGAGGGUGCAAGCGUUAAUCGGAAUUACUGGGCGUAACGCGCGCGUAGGUGGUUCAGUAAGAUGGGUGUGAAAACCCCGGGCUUAACCUGGGAACUGCUUUCAUAACUGCUGAGCUAGAGUACGGUAGAGGGUAGUGGAAUUUCCUGUGUAGCGGUGAAAUGCGUAGAUAUAGGAAGGAACACCAGUGGCGAAGGCGACUACCUGGACUGAUACUGACACUGAGGUGCGAAAGCGUGGGGAGCAAAC